UACGAAGGGAGCUAGCGUUGUUCGGAAUUACUGGGCGUAAAGGGCGCGUAGGCGGCUUUGUUAGUUGGGCGUGAAAUGCCUGGGCUUAACCCAGGAACUGCGCUCAAUACUACAAGGCUUGAGUGUGGGAGAGGAUAGUGGAAUUCCCAGUGUAGAGGUGAAAUUCGUAGAUAUUGGGAAGAACACCAGCGGCGAAGGCGGCUAUCUGGACCACAACUGACGCUGAGGCGCGAAAGCGUGGGGAGCGAACAGG
rnacentral:rRNA from 1 species